rnacentral:siRNA from 1 species
GAGGUCGAGUAGUGGUCUG